rnacentral:rRNA from 1 species
CAUCCUUUCCCAGUUCUCCAAAAAAAAUUCUCCUUCUUUCCCAAACCAAACCUUAUCUGUUCUCCUCCAUUCCCCCAAAUUGACCAGACCACCAGUCUGUCACUCGCUUCUCACUGCUGCCAACCGCUGGUCGCCGGUCUUGCCAACUCUCGCCGCCCUCUGCAGUGAGGGCCCUCCAGGCCUCCACGCCAGGUGCCGGGUGUUGGCUGCUGGUGCUUCUCCUUCUCUCACUGCUUCUCCGCUCACGCUGCAUGCUGCCGUGCAGUGGACCGCUGAUGCUGCCGCCGGCUAGUAAACUAAACAGUGAACUGUUGUUGAAGCGUCGAAGGAGCAAGACUGCUGCAAGAGCAAAGGUAACAACCAUGGUCUAGGAGAGCAUAUCUGUAGUUAUUGGUUGUAGGCAUCUUUUGGUCAGUCCGGUGUGUUCUACAGUUGUGGCUAUGGAGCACUUUUGGCCAGUUCGGUGUAUUCUACAGUUGUGGUUAUGGAGCACUGGAUAACAGUAGUAAUUAUCCACAAGACCAGAUGCUGGAGUCCAGGAGCCAGACGCCACCGUCGACGACGACUACUACACUGGAGGUGCCUACUACUGCGUGCAGGCUGCUGUCGACGACCAGGAGUAGUUUAGGAGGAUCCCAGGCAGGAGGCCUGCGCCUCUUUCGAUCUGUAUCCCAGUUUGUGCUAGCCUUCUUAAGGCAAACUUAUUUAACUUAUGUCUGUACUCAGAUAUUGUUGCUUUCGCUGACUCGUCUAUGAUCGAGCACUUGUAUUCGAGCCCUCGAGGCCCCUGGC